UGGGGCGUGGCCAAGCGGUAAGGCACGAGCCUUUGGAGCUCGUAUCCCUGGUUCGAAUCCAGGCGCCCCAG
rnacentral:tRNA from 1 species